GAUCAUGGCUCAGGAUAAACGCUGGCGGCGUGCUUAACACAUGCAAGUCGAACGGAGUAAUUCUCCCGAAGAUUGAAGAAGCUUGCUUCUGAAAGAUUCAUUUGAAUUACUUAGUGGCGGACGGGUGAGUAACGCGUGGGAAACCUGCCCUAUACUGGGGGAUAGCAGUUGGAAACGACUGAUAAUACCGCAUAAGCGCACAGCUUCGCAUGAAGCAGUGUGGAAAACUCCGGUGGUAUAGGAUGGUCCCGCGUCUGAUUAGCUAGUUGGUGAGGUAACGGCCCACCAAGGCAACGAUCAGUAGCCGGCCUGAGAGGGUGUACGGCCACAUUGGGACUGAGACACGGCCCAAACUCCUACGGGAGGCAGCAGUGGGGAAUAUUGGACAAUGGGGGAAACCCUGAUCCCAGCGACGCCGCGUGAACGAAGAAGUAUUUCGGUAUGUAAAGUUCUAUCAGCAGGGAAGAUAAUGACGGUACCUGACUAAGAAGCACCGGCUAAAUACGUGCCAGCAGCCGC
rnacentral:rRNA from 1 species